rnacentral:rRNA from 1 species
GUGCAGCAGGCGAGAAUCCUUCGCAAUGCGGGAAACCGCGACGAGGGGACUCCCAGUGCCUACGCUCAGCGUAGGCUGUUCCCGAGCCUAGAAAGCUCGGGGAGUAAGGGCUGGGUAAGACGGGUGCCAGCCGCCGCGGUAAUACCCGCAGCCCGAGUGGUGGCCACUAUUAUUGGGCCUAAAGCGUCCGUAGCCGGCCCGGUAAAUGCCUGGGUAAAUCGUGAGGCCUAACCUCACGAAUUCCGGGUAGACUGCCGGGCUAGGGACCGGAGGAGGGAGAGGGGUACUCCAGGGGUAGGGGUGAAAUCCUGUAAUCCCUGGAGGACCACCGGUGGCGAAGGCGCUCUCCUAGGACGGGUCCGACGGUGAGGGACGAAAGCCAGGGGAGCGAACCGGAUUAGAUACCCGUGUAGU